CAUUCAUAUUCUAAAAUAAUAAGUGCAAAGAUCUGUAUAUGUUUAUGGAAUAUUUAUUAUAAAAAUUCCAUAAAGAGAUUAUAAUAAGGUCAAAAUUGUAAUUAUAAUGUUUGCGUAAAAGAGAAUAAUUUGAGACGAGAAUAAAAUUUGUACCUUUUCUUUGGGCAGUGGCAACGGCCAGAGGAACCACCAGCGCUGUUACACUUAACGGCAGUAUCGUCCAUAGAACUACACUUUCUUUUAAAUGAAGAAGUAGAAAGCGGCGGCCGACCGGCAGAUGAAACCGUAGAAAGAUUUGUUAUUUGAAAACCAGAAGACAAAGACUGUUGUAAGCUCUCUGUUUCUCCUGUUAAAGAUGACAUAAACGAAUUCGCCGGAGAUGCAGAAGCAAAAUUAAUAGUUGUAGAUGAUUCUUUUCUCUCAAUCGACCCAUUUUUGACCAAUUGAAGAUGGUUAUGUGGUAAAGGAGGUAAACGUUGAGUAGGUGUAGGACAGUAAAUUUUGGGAGUAUUUAUUUGUGGCUUUUCGGUUUCUUCUAUUUGAAGGUUCUGAUUUUUGGUAGAGUUUUGAUCUAAUAUUUGUUGCUGGGGUUUAGGAGGAGGAGUAGAAAUUGGGCCUUUACGAAAUCUGGCAUGACCAGUUCUAUUUUUGUCAAGUAAAGAAAUGAACUUUUUGAAUUUGUUAACAGCAACAUCAGCUACAGCUGUGUAAUCAGCAGAAACAGAGGGGUUUUGAUCCAAUUUUUGUUGUUGUUGUUGUUGUUGUUGGUUUUGAUGAGAUUGAGAAAGCAAACGGAUUAAUUUCUCAACGCUUUGAAGCCCAGCUGUGGCUGCUUCUUGUACGGCGUUUUCUUCCAUUUUGGUUGAAAAACUAUUCCUUCUGCUGUAGCCACUAGUCAUUAACUCAACAGCCAUGUUAUACUACACAGAGAAAAGCUGAAUAGAGAGAAGGGAGGAGAAGAUAUAGAAAAGAGAAAAAGAGAGAGAAAAUGGAGGAAAUUCUUAUUCUAAUGAAAGGGGAAGAGAGUCAAACAUAUGAUGCUCUUUCUCUUUUUCUUUUGGUUUAUAUCGAUGCAAAUGAAUGAACUGUCGCUUCUGACCUUAUUGCUAAUUAAAGGGUUAAGCCAAUGAGAUAUAGACACGUUGAUUAUUCAUCUCUUUGUAGGAGAGAAAAAGAGGGCAUUGACUAAAGGUUUAUAGAGAUGUGGGGGACCGGUUAACGGGUAAAACGGUGGAAAAUGGAAGAUGAUGAGAUAAGGUAGAGGCAGAAAGUCAAAAGGUAGUAAUGAGCCGUUGGAUUUAGAUGAAUGAAUUUGGGGUGAAAAUAGAGGGUGUUAGGUUGGAGCCAGUGAGGUAGAGUUGACUCCUAUUACAGCUUUUAACGCAAAAGUCUAUUUGGUAGGGAAGGUUUUAUCUUUUUCCUUUUAAGGAUAUGAUAUUUGAACUUUCUUUGUUUGAUCAUUACAGAUUUCAAACAAGGAGAGAUUCACGAAGUAGAGAACGUUCUUAUAUUUGGGUGUAAUUGUGUCUAAUUAUACCGUUUGUCAUGUUUGUUUGGCCAAAUAGUUAUUUCGUCAAUAUGAAAUUAGUUGUAAUUGAAGGAGUGUAAUUACACUCUCUAAUUCUCAAAAAAAUAUGUGAAUUGCUAGUAGUUAAAGAAAAGGUUGCUUUUUAAUUCCAUUUUAAUUUUUUUUAACUUUUUAUUUUUUUUGAAAUUUUAAAAUAUAUUUUCUUUGUAUAUUAUUUAUAUUUUAUUUCUCUUUGCUCAUAUUUUUUUUUAUUUAUUUUAUAUUCUAUUUUUUGAAACUACACCUCCUAAUAUCAUUACCAAACUUGGUAUAUAAUGAGUGGUGUAAUUAAAGUAGAAUUUUAUAUUAUGUUUCCUAAUCUUAAGUUGUAGUGGAACUUACUAUUAUGAUGUCGGAAUUUGACAUAUGUUAAACUUUUUUUUUUUUGGAUUUUAAAUUAUGUUAGGUUCGUGGUUCCAAUUUACUUGUAUUAAUAGUAUUGGCUCAUAUUAUAUGUUGUUCAUUUUUAUUUAGAAUUGAUAGGUUAAUUUUGAAUAAUAUCACGACAUUAUAUUUAUAAAUGUUAAUUUAUUUUUAUCAAACAUGAACUCCAUGAUAUUUUAUAAAAUGUGAAAUCCAUGAUAUUUUAUAAAACAUAUGACUUUAGUUUUUGUAAGUAUCUAAUAUAAUAUUAGGUCAAAAUUGUAAUUAUAAUGUUUGCGUAAAAGAGAAUAAUUUGAGACGAGAAUAAAAUUUGUACCUUUUCUUUGGGCAGUGGCAACGGCCAGAGGAACCACCAGCGCUGUUACACUUAACGGCAGUAUCGUCCAUAGAACUACACUUUCUUUUAAAUGAAGAAGUAGAAAGCGGCGGCCGACCGGCAGAUGAAACCGUAGAAAGAUUUGUUAUUUGAAAACCAGAAGACAAAGACUGUUGUAAGCUCUCUGUUUCUCCUGUUAAAGAUGACAUAAACGAAUUCGCCGG
rnacentral:lncRNA from 1 species